rnacentral:piRNA from 1 species
UGUGAAUGACCAGUUCAAGCUGUUGGGACCU